rnacentral:tRNA from 1 species
UGGGGAAUGGUCUAAUGGCAAGACUACGGACUCUGACUCCGUCUAUCAAGGUUCGAAUCCUUGUUCCCCAGCCA